ACAGCAUCCUUAAGUAACUGCUCCAGUACCACCUCGGUGUGGCUUAGAGCAGCACCCAGCCUACUGCUCCUGCACUCAGGAGCGAGUGGGGCAGAGGGCAGAGAGGGAGGGUUUCAGAUACCCAGUGGCUUAUUUUCCAAUCGUACAGUGACUGACGACUAUGGGCUUCCUUUGAUGAGUCACUUGACGGCAGAAGACAGGAUGCUCAUGAACCUUUGUGGGUUGGCACGUGGUUCACUGGCAGCUAAGUGAAGAAAAGGUCUAAGGGAAAGCAGACGUCAGUACCAAGUCCCAUCUUUAAGGCACAGAUAGGUACCCUCAAAUAUGACUCAGAAAUCACCCGAUUAGAGGUCAAAGAUGACUUACGGGGCAGAACCACCAGCUUACCUUACUGUUCCCAGGGUUGGUGAACUUCGCAUGAAUUAGAGCAGAAGUAACUCUUGUCAAUAGCUACAGUUGUGUGCCGACCAAUAAACACUUAACAUGCUGUUUCCUCUUGACUCAUGUGGCUGAAAUGAAGCCCAGUCACUCUGAUUGUAGCAUGGACUUGUGUCUUGCAGGGACGUUGAGCAAC